rnacentral:rRNA from 1 species
GAUGAACGCUGGCGGCGUGCCUAAUACAUGCAAGUCGAGCGAACAGACGAGGAGCUUGCUCCUCUGACGUUAGCGGCGGACGGGUGAGUAACACGUGGAUAACCUACCUAUAAGACUGGGAUAACUUCGGGAAACCGGAGCUAAUACCGGAUAAUAUAUUGAACCGCAUGGUUCAAUAGUGAAAGACGGUUUUGCUGUCACUUAUAGAUGGAUCCGCGCCGCAUUAGCUAGUUGGUAAGGUAACGGCUUACCAAGGCAACGAUGCUUAGCCGACCUGAGAGGGUGAUCGGCCACACUGGAACUGAGACACGGUCGAGACUCCUACGGGAGGCAGCAGUAGGGAAUCUUCCGCAAUGGGCGAAAGCCUGACGGAGCAACGCCGCGUGAGUGAUGAAGGUCUUCGGCUGGUAAAACUCUGUUAUUAUGGAAGAACAAAUGUGUAAGUAACUAUGCACGUCUUGACGGUACCUAAUCAGAAAGCCACGGCUAACUACGUG